GAUGAACGCUGGCGGCGUGCCUAAUACAUGCAAGUCGAGCGAACAGACGAGGAGCUUGCUCCUCUGACGUUAGCGGCGGACGGGUGAGUAACACGUGGAUAACCUACCUAUAAGACUGGGAUAACUUCGGGAAACCGGAGCUAAUACCGGAUAAUAUAUUGAACCGCAUGGUUCAAUAGUUAAAGACGGUUUUGCUGUCACUUAUAGAUGGAUCCGCGCCGCAUUAGCUAGUUGGUAAGGUUACGGCUUACCAAGGCAACGAUGCGUAGCCGACCUGAGAGGGUGAUCGGCCACACUGGAACUGAGACACGGUCCAGACUCCUACGGGAGGCAGCAGUAGGGAAUCUUCCGCAAUGGGCGAAAGCUUGACGGAGCAACGCCGCGUGAGUGAUGAAGGUCUUCGGAUCGUAAAACUCUGUUAUUAGGGAAGAACAAAUGUGUAAGUAACUAUGCACGUCUUGACGGUACCUAAUCAGAAAGCAACGGCUAACUACGUG
rnacentral:rRNA from 1 species